AAUUCCUAAUUGUGGCACCUUUUCUAAAAGAAAAUCUAUGUGGGGAGGUACAUCAAGGCCAUUUUAAUUUCCUCAAAAGUUUUCUCAUCAAAUGUGGAAAAUCGAAAAAAAGAACAUCCUAGGAUAAUGGAGAUGGGUGCAGCCACUGUCAUAAGUAAUUUAAUGUAUACCUCUAUGCAACGAUAAACCAUUACAAACGAAAAAACGAUUCUGAGUGCAGUUCAAAAUAAUUUGUGUUCCCUGUGUAAUUCGUUGUAAUCAAUAAUAUUAUUG